UACGAAGGGAGCUAGCGUUGUUCGGAAUCACUGGGCGUAAAGCGCACGUAGGCGGCUGUGUCAGUCAGGGGUGAAAUCCCGGAGCUCAACUUCGGAACUGCCCUUGAUACAGCACAUCUGGAGUCCGGAAGAGGUGGGUGGAAUUCCUAGUGUAGAGGUGAAAUUCGUAGAUAUUAGGAAGAACACCGGUGGCGAAGGCGGCCCACUGGUCCGGUACUGACGCUGAGGUGCGAAAGCGUGGGGAGCAAACAGG
rnacentral:rRNA from 1 species